UGAAACAGGCCCGUUCAGUGUUUGCGCGAUGCCCUUUGGCAAGAAUUAGGCCAAUCUGAAAUGUAUUUGCACUGCAAAUACUCUUUCUUGAAUCGGAUCGGAUGUUAACCGCUUAGCCCAAUAUGAAAAUGUCACUGAGAAGAAUAUAGGAUAGCCGAAGCCAUACCCGAAAACCCACUUAGCCCUCGACGGAGCAAAACGAUGCGCUCCGUCUCCCCCACACUCCCAAAUCUUUUUCUCAGGGCCGUAGGUAACUAUUAAAAUCCCCACCACCCAAGUUUUCUCCACCAAUUUGAGAUAUUUAGGUAUUCCACGAUGAUUGCAUCUAGGGUUCUUGAAAGCACGCUGCUUUCUGUUGUUAAAUCACCGCCAUCAUCGUCAGCUGAUGCUUCAGCUACUUUGAGUGCAGCUAGCUGAAACCUAUUGUUUAUGGUAGUGGUUGGAAGGGCUGUGUAUCAAAUCUUGGGAUGAUCUUAAUAAGCUAUGGUAUGCUCUUUUGAAGGAAAAGAACAUGUUGAUGUCCAAGGGUCAGAUGCUUCAUUCACAUAAUCUUUGUUUUCCUAACCCAGAUCAUGUUCCAAAGCGAAGUUGAAGUGAAUAAGAUGGCUCUGUACAAGAAGAUGACUACUGGAUGCAGGUAAGGAAAUCAGUGAGCCGGAUUAAGUAUGUGCUAAUUGAGAGAGCAAUUGCUGAGCCUGAUCCUAGGCAAUCUGCUGAGAGAAGAGGACGAUCACUGCCCUAUAAUAUCCGCAUCGCGUAAUAUCUG